rnacentral:piRNA from 1 species
UGCAGUAGCCCAUGGCAUUAACCUUCCACUC